rnacentral:rRNA from 1 species
UACAGAGGGCCCGAGCGUUGUUCGGAUUCAUUGGGCGUAAAGGGUGCGUAGGCGGCGGGGUAAGUCUGAUGUGAAAUCCUGGGGCUCAACCCUGGAACUGCAUUGGAUACUUCCUUGCUAGAGUACUGGAGAGGAAACUGGAAUUUACGGUGUAGCAGUGAAAUGCGUAGAGAUCGUAAGGAAGACCAGUGGCGAAGGCGAGGUUCUGGACAGUUACUGACGCUGAGGCACGAAGGCCAGGGGAGCAAACGGG